ensembl:miRNA
AAGGUCCAACCUCACAUGUCCUGUGCGGCUGAAGGAAGGCUGUGUGAGGUCAGACCUAUC